rnacentral:lncRNA from 10 species
GGCCGGGAUGUCCCUGCACAGUCCCCAGCAGCAAGGCCUCCCUGAGAACAUGGCUUGCGAUGGGGCCUGAUUCCGUCUCCUUCUAGCCACAUCCCCAACUCCUGGGUUCAGCCAACUGGCAGGUGUUUCCUGGCUCAGGAAAUGCGAGAGAAAGAAGCCUGUCCCUGCCCACCUAGAACUCCCUUGUCAGCAUCGUCAUUUGUCUGUGCUCUCAUGGGGCCUCACAACAGAGUCUCAAGGUGAUUCCAUUUCCUCCCAAAUUAAGAUGGAGUAUGAGAAGGCACCGAGGAGCUGGAGGCAGGAGCUCCAGACUGGAGGCCAAGUGCUGUCAUCUGCAAGCCGUGUGACCCGGGACAAGUCUCUGUCCCACAGAUCCCUGCGUCCUCACCUGCAGCGAUCAUAACACCCAGCUCAAUGAGUCCAUGUGAAGAAAUGAAAAAGACCAUAUGAGAAUGCCUGUGGUGACCUGCUAGACAUGUGUGUGAUUACCUAGAGGCUAAGGGAGCUCCCUUCGGGUCUGAGUCCCGGGAUCACUGUGCCUUAAGCCAUGUGACCUUGGGAAAGCCAACUGCUCCCAGGCCUCAGUUUGCUCACCUGUCAAAUGGAAGGGAUGCUGGCAUUUCUGUCAGCAGUGUUGCAGGGAUAGGAUAGAAGGAGAUAAAGCAUUGUGAGGCCGAGGCAGGAGGAUCACUUGAAGCCAGGAGUUCGAGACCAACCUGGGCAGCAUUAGCAAGACCCCCAUCUCUACAAAAAUAAAAAUAAAUUAGCCAGGUAUAGUGGCGCAUGCCUGUAGUCCUGGCUACUUGGGAGGCUGAGGUGGGAGGAUCGCUUGAGCCUGGGAGGUUGAGGCUGCAGUGAGCUAUGAUCACACCAUUGCACUCCAGCCUGGGUGACAGAGUGAGACCCUGUCUCAAAAGGAAAAAAGAAUGUAUCCGACCAUUUUAAAACCAAAGCGGAGCACAUGGUAAU